CACACACAUUCACACAUACCCCCACAAAAAACAAAAAAAGGAGUAGGGAAGAGGGGUGUAUGUGCACAAUACACACAUAUACGUAUGUUGUUUUUUUUUCUUUU
rnacentral:ribozyme from 1 species